CAAUCAGUGGUCAAAGCGGUGCGGCCCAACCUGGAACAAUCUAGGAACUCCAAGAUUCACGAUGCCAAAAAAAACACGACUUCUCUAUUUCUCCCAAUCGCUGCAUCCCAUGUCCUUACGCAGAGGAGGCGGUUCUCAUCUACCUCGGACCAUCCCUAAGCCAUGAGGUGCGUACAGAGGCAGCCCAGGCUUCCCUUCUCUCCCCUACCAAGGCAGGCAUCGGCCGGCCUUCUCCCCCUUCCAAGUCUGCGGGCCACACAAGGGAGUUCGACGCCCCCGUCCCCUUCCCAAGGCGGCUAACAGCGAGGAGGAGGGCAUGGGCGCACUCCUCUACCUCCAGAGGCAGCGGGGCCAUGGGAGGAGCUGACAGGAGGAGCAAGGCGGAGGACAUCGGCACCCUUCUCUCCCUCCUGAGGCAGCACGACUAUGGGAGGAGGCGACACAGUGGGUGCUCCCUUUCGGAUGCAUUGCAUCGCCGUCCGUGUCGUGACUCUCUCUGUCUCUCUUUGAAGCUGCGACUUCUAGGGAAUUUUGCAUCUACAGAACAUGGUAAGAAUACUCUUUGUUUCUCACCAAAAUAUAAAAUAGUGUACUUCUUUUUUGUACAUGGAAGACCAACUAUUCCCUUUUAAGACUCUUGCAGCAGUGGCUGAAGAUACAAAGAGAAAUAUCCACGGUUGCUCCAACUUUAUUUCGCAAAGGGUGGACCGUGCGAACAUGAAUAGCAACUGUGUUUUUUCCAAUUCAAACAAUGUGUCACUGUUAAUCCUAUAUGAAGUACCUGCUGAUGAUUUCAGUAAUGGCUUUAUUUAUUUUUUUCGAAAUGGGGAGUAAUGGCUUUAUUGUGUACCAGUUGUGCUCUUGCAUCCACUUAAUGAUUCACAUGUCUUCAACACUACAUGACAGCUCCUGACAUGAUUUUUUCAGAUAUAGUACUAUCAGGAUUUUUCUAUGGAGGAGCUUCCGUGUAAAUCCAAAUUGCUAAUUCUCGAUUGAAGGCAUAUAGUUUCUGCUCACUACUAUUGACUGUCAACGGUUUCUUUUUUGCUAAAUCUCCGUUGAAAGUCAUAUAGAUUCUACUUGUGAAUACUUUUGAUUAAGUAUGUAUUUUUUCCUCUAUUUUUGCAGGCGUUGCUACAGAUAUGCAGAGGGAUAAACUGUGCAGUGACAUACCAAUCUGCAGUUCAAUUUACAGUGCUUUACAUAUCAGAUGGUGUUGGUGCUCAGAGAUAUUGGCUUCAUUUUUGUUCCGACUCUUAGAUUUGGGGAAUUUCAUUGCUGAUUUUCGUGUCUCGAGCUCAUCUUCCAUUUUGCUUCUCGGAUCGACCUCCUCGAGCUUUUGAGAUUCAGUCUUGACGCUCAACUAUAUUUAUUCCUCACGUCUUUGUGAAACCAUGGGAGAUGAAUUGGUUCACCUAAGAAGCAUAUUUGUUGGUCAGCACUCAGCAGAAAAUCAUGACAACGGCAGAUCAGAUUGCCACCAAGGUUCCGGAGAAUAGUUCAGCAGAGGGUGCCACCCUGCAGAACACACCUGUGUUUAUUUGUUAAUAGGUACACAGUUAUGUUGCAAAAAAUCCAGUACCUCCAUGGGUCACAAGAAGGUACAGAUAUAAGAGUGCAGUUAAUUAGCAGCGUAUCGGCAAGUCAUGUGGUGUAUCCCGUGGAGUGUUUCAUUUCACCAGGAAUGUUUGAUGUGGAGGCUAUCCAGAAAGAUAACCCUUGCAUGUUCGUAUCGGCAGGUUACCAACUUUGCAGAUCUACAACAUGUGGAUUUCUAAAGGAUAACCUGCAUGCUCGGUUCCGGGUGAAGCGGCUAAAUGAUGUAGCAGUUUUACUCUAUUUUGAUCAAGAUAACCCUUGCAUGUUCGUAUAUGAAAUGUCUGUUUCUUUUGAAGAAUGGAUUCACGACGGAGAGCUUGAGCUCAUUCAGUGAACACCUGAGUAUGGAUCAGUUGUGUGUUUGGAGCUAUGAUAUACUCAAUUUUAGGUACCUUUUGCCUGAGUAUGGAUUUGGAUGUGUGGAGCAAGAAAAUCAGUAUGGAUCAGUUGACUUCUUUUUACCAUUUUGCCUGCAACAGUAAUAGUUCAUCAAUACAAUGCACCGCAUAUUGUGCUACUGCUGAAGUUAUACCAAAGAUGCUGCAAGUUAAGGUUCUGCCAUCGUACCUAGCUGAUUUAACCCAGAUACAUCUAGAUAGCAAGUGCAAGUGUCAUGUACUCCAUUUGUUCCUAUAUGUUGAUGCCAUCAUGGAUGGAUCUCUUCCUGUUUAGGUGUUGCUAUGGUUCAAGCACGUAUUCAGUGGUCUAUCUAAAAAAACGUAGUUCCUGUUGAUUGUUACUCGGUUCAAAAGCUAUGCGCAGAAGCCCAAGACCUGAAGUCCCUUAAUGCACCCAGUUCAAAUAGGAAGCACAUGCAGCCAGUGUUAGUUUCCUGUACGUUUUAAGGUAGUAGAAAAGGCAUAGAGGCACUCCUUAGUUUUCUGCAGAUUUCCAGGCGAUGACCUGACAACUACUUCCGACUGUUUGUUCAACAUUUUGUGUUAUCAUGCAUAUCA